rnacentral:rRNA from 1 species
CCUACGGGGGGCAGCAGUGAGGAAUAUUGGUCAAUGGGCGCGAGCCUGAACCAGCCAAGUAGCGUGAAGGAUGACUGCCCUACGGGUUGUAAACUUCUUUUAUAAAGGAAUAAAGUGAGGCACGUGUGCCUUUUUGUAUGUACUUUAUGAAUAAGGAUCGGCUAACUCCGUGCCAGCAGCCGCGGUAAUACGGAGGAUCCGAGCGUUAUCCGGAUUUAUUGGGUUUAAAGGGAGCGUAGAUGGGUUGUUAAGUCAGUUGUGAAAGUUUGCGGCUCAACCGUAAAAUUGCAAUUGAUACUGGCAGCCUUGAGAACAGGUGAGGUAGGCGGAAUGCGUGGUGUAGCGGUGAAAUGCUUAGAUAUCGCGAAGAACUCCGAUUGCGAAGGCAGCUUACUAAACGGCCACUGACAUUGAUGCUCGAAAGUGUGGGUAUCAAACAGGAUUAGAUACCCGAGUAGUC